UUGCAGGAGCCUCCCGGGCUAAUCUGAAUACAAAAACUUGUGGAAAUAAGCCCCAAAGCUCCUGCUAGAUUGUGUGUUGCACGUUUGUGUUGCACGUUUGCCUUGAUUCUCUAGUCUUUCCUGUGUCAAAAACAUGGUUGAAUUU
rnacentral:snoRNA from 2 species